UACGGCCGUACCAUGCUGAAUAUACCGGUUCUCGUUAGAUCACCGAAGUCAAGCAUCAUUGGGCGCGGUCAGUACUUGGGUGGGUGACCACCUGGGAACACCGCGUGCCGUU
rnacentral:rRNA from 1 species